rnacentral:rRNA from 1 species
UGGGGAAUCUUGGACAAUGGGCGCAAGCCUGAUCCAGCAAUGCCGCGUGGGUGAAGAAGGCCUUCGGGUUGUAAAGCCCUUUUGUUUGGGAGCAAAUCCUAACGGUUAAUACCUGUUGGGGAUGAGAGUACCAAAAGAAUCAGCACCGGCUAACUACGUGCCAGCAGCCGCGGUAAUACGUAGGGUGCAAGCGUUAAUCGGAAUUACUGGGCGUAAAGCGUGCGCAGGUGGUUUUACAAGACCGACGUGA